GACACGCUGGCGGCGUGGAUUAGGCAUGCAAGUCGAACGGUAUCAUCCUUUCGGGGGUGAGAGAGUGGCGAACUGGUGAGUAACACGUAGGUUAUCUACCCUCAAGACGGGGACAACCCAGGGAAACUUGGGCUAAUACCGGAUGUGAGCAACUUUUAGUUGUUUGAAAGGUGGCGUAAGCUGUCGCUUGGGGAUGAGCCUGCGUCCUAUUAGUUAGUUGGUGAGGUAACGGCUCACCUAGGCAAUGAUAGGUAGGCGGCCUUAACGGGUGGUCGCCCACACUGGGAUUGAGAUACGGCCCAGACUCCUACGGGAGGCAGCAGUCGAGAAUAGUCUACAAUGGUCGGAAGACUGAUAGUGCGACGCCGCGUGAACGAUGAAUCCCUUCGGGGUGUAAAGUUCUUUUAUAUGUGAGCAGUGCUUCUUAUAUUAACAGUAUGGGGAGAGAGAUAUUAGCAUAUGAAUAAGCAACGGCUAACUCCGUG
rnacentral:rRNA from 1 species